CCCGAGCAACCGCCGGCUGAAGGAAAGAAGGUUUUUCGAAUCGUAAAACUUCGGUUGUUAGAGAAGAACCAGGGAUGAGAGUAAAAUGUUCAUCCCUGGACGGUAUCUAACCAGAAAGCCAGGGCUAAUUACGUGCCAGCAGCCGCGGUAAUACGUAGGUGGCAAGCGUUGUCCGGAUUUAUUGGGCGUAAAGCGAGCGCAGGCGGUUUUCUUAAGUCUGAUGUGAAAGCCCCCGGCUCAACCGGGGAGGGUCAUUGGAAACUGGGAGACUUGAGUGCAGAAGAGGAGAGUGGAAUUCCAUGUGUAGCGGUGAAAUGCGUAGAUAUAUGGAGGAACACCAGUGGCGAAGGCGGCUCUCUGGUCUGUAACUGACGCUGAGGCUCGAAAGCGUGGGGAGCGAACAGGAUUAGAUACCCUGGUAGUCCACGCGGUAAACGAUGAGUGUUAAGUGUGGGAGGGUUUCCGCCUUUCAGUGCUGCAGCAAACGCAUUAAGCACUCCGCCUGGGGAGUACGACCGCAAGGUUGAAACUCAAAGGAAUUGACGGGGGCCCGCACAAGCGGUGGAGCAUGUGGUUUAAUUGGAAGCAACGGGAAGACCCUUACCAGGUCUUGACAUCCUUUGACCACUCUAGAGAUAGAGCUUCCCCUUGGGGGGCAAAGUGACAGGUGGUGCAUGGUGGUGGUCAGCUGGUGUCGUGAGAUGUUGGGUUAAGUCCCGCAACGAGCGCAACCCUUAUUGUUAGUUGCCAUCAUUUAGUUGGGCACUCUAGCGAGACUGCCGGUGACAAACCGGAGGAAGGUGGGGAUGACGUCAAAUCAUCAUGCCCCUUAUGCCCUGGGCUACACACGUGCUCCAAUGGGAAGUACAACGAGUUGCGAAGUCGCGAGGCUAAGCUAAUUUCUUAAAGCUUCUCUCAGUUCGGAUUGUAGGCUGCAACUCGCCUACAUGAAGCCGGAAUCGCUAGUAAUCGCGGAUCAGCACGCCGCGGUGAAUACGUUCCCGGCCCUUGUACACACCGCCCGUCACACCACGAGAGUUUGUAACACCCGAAGUCGGUGAGGUAACCUUUGGAGCCAGCCGCCUAAGGGAAGAAGGGGG
rnacentral:rRNA from 1 species